rnacentral:rRNA from 1 species
GAUGAACGCUGGCGGCGUGCCUAAUACAUGCAAGUCGAGCGAACAGACGAGGAGCUUGCUCCUCUGACGUUAGCGGCGGACGGGUGAGUAACACGUGGAUAACCUACCUAUAAGACUGGGAUAACUUCGGGAAACCGGAGCUAAUACCGGAUAAUAUAUUGAAACGCAUGGUUCAAUAGUGAAAGACGGUUUUGCUGUCACUUAUAGAUGGAUCCGCGCCGCAUUAGCUAGUUGGUAAGGUAACGGCUUACCAAGGCAACGAUGCGUAGCCGACCUGAGAGGGGGGACCGCCACACUGGGACUGAGACACCGCCCAGACUCCUUAGGGAGGGCGCAGUGGGGAAUUUUGCCCAAUGGGGGGAAAGCUUGACGGGGCAACCCGCGGGAGGGAAGAAGGGUUUCGGGUUGUAAAACCUUUUUUUUUGGGAAAAAAAAAUUUUGGAUAAAACUAUGGGGGUUUGACGGUACCCGAAUAAAAAGCCCCGGCUAACUACGUG